rnacentral:rRNA from 1 species
UGCAGUCGAACGGAAGUCGUUAUAAAAAGGAUUGAAGAUUUAUCUGAUUGAGAUUUUAUAACAAUGGCUUUAGUGGCGGACUGGUGAGUAACGCGUGAGCAACCUGCCUACUAGAGGGGAAUAACAGUGAGAAAUCAUUGCUAAUACCGCAUAUGCCAUGAACAUCACAUGAUGAAAAUGGGAAAAGAGUAAUCUGCUAGUAGAUGGGCUCGCGUCUGAUUAGAUAGUUGGUGGGGUAACGGCCUACCAAGUCAACGAUCAGUAGCCGGACUGAGAGGUUGAACGGCCACAUUGGGACUGAGAUACGGCCCAGACUCCUACGGGAGGCAGCAGUCGGGAAUAUUGCGCAAUGGAGGAAACUCUGACGCAGUGACGCCGCGUAUAGGAAGAAGGUUUUCGGAUUGUAAACUAUUGUCGUUAGGGAAGAUAAAAGACAGUACCUAAGGAGGAAGCUCCGGCUAACUACGUGCCAGCAGCCGCGGUAAUACGUAGGGAGCAAGCGUUAUCCGGAUUUAUUGGGUGUAAAGGGUGCGUAGACGGGACAACAAGUUAGUUGUGAAAUCCCUCGGCUUAACUGAGGAACUGCAACUAAAACUAUUGUUCUUGAGUGUUGGAGAGGAAAGUGGAAUUCCUAGUGUAGCGGUGAAAUGCGUAGAUAUUAGGAGGAACACCGGUGGCGAAGGCGACUUUCUGGACAAUAACUAACGUUGAGGCACGAAAGUG